rnacentral:rRNA from 1 species
UUGGGGUGCUCGAGUGGCGAACGGGUGAGUAACACGUGAGUAACCAGCCCUUGACUUUGGGAUAACUUCAGGAAACUGGGGCUAAUACCGGAUAGGAGCUCCUGCUGCAUGGUGGGGGUUGGAAAGUUUCGGCGGUUGGGGAUGGACUCGCGGCUUAUCAGCUUGUUGGUGGGGUAGUGGCUUACCAAGGCUUUGACGGGUAGCCGGCCUGAGAGGGUGACCGGCCACAUUGGGACUGAGAUACGGCCCAG